rnacentral:miRNA from 1 species
CCAACGGCAGAUAGUGCCUACAAUGUUUCCUUGUGUCGCCGUCAGUCAUUCAUGUUACUCCAUGAAUGUAGAAUCGUAGCUCAGUACGUGUAAAUAAUUUCAUAUUUUCCGCAAGACAAUUCUAUAAUACAAAUGUAUACAGGAGUGGGUCAAGCGACGGGCCCGCGCCGUGUCACCAGUGCGUAGGAGCACCGCUGCGUCAUCCACGUGCAUCUCAAAAACCUUUCCACAAAAACUCACGCUAACCGACUAGCGAGGCAAAAGGCGACGAAGCUUUUAAACUUUAGGAACUUUUUCCCGUCGUAUCGCAUUCGUCAAGUGACAAGUACCUACACAAAGUGUCUAAUUAGUAUUCAUCUGGGCGCGUGUAGACCUCUUCGCGGUGGGGACGGGUUAUUAGCCGGCGCCGCCUCCGCGCCCAGGCAUAUUGUUCCGAGUUCUGCCCACCGAGCGCCGUACGCUCGCCCGACCAACGAUAAUUCAUAUUGUCAAUAUUUGUACUGCAACAACGAACCGACGAUUUCACCAGAGGAAGCCGAGCCGGUGGCUGGGAAGGCAAGAAGUCGGCAUAGCUGUUUGAAAAUGAUAUACGGCUGUGUCACUUCGAGCCAGCUCAAUCCACCGGCUUUCUGCAUAAAGAAGAUUUGCGGACGCUGCCGUAACGUGAAAAUUCGGAUCGCUCCCGUAGCGGCGCGACUCCGGCCGGGAGAGGGCGCAUUGACAGCUGUCACUGGGCACUAUUUCGCUUUCUUCGCGGCCGGACGUGGGAGGAAAUCGUUUAUUUUUAUCACACACGACGAUGUUCCCGUAGAGUGCGACCGGCUGUGUACGUGCGUGACGAAACGAUCGAAAACAAGACGACAAAAUGCCGAACGAGGAGGUGUUGGGUCCGCGGAAGACGAUGUUCGUACUAGUGAUUGUUGUGGGAUGUUUCGCGGUGCUGUGGCCCAGGAUUCUGUCGCCGCUGAUCUUGGGCCACUCGCGGGACCAGCUCAAACCGAACGCGUUCGACCGGGAGGCAGGAUGCUGCGAAGUGAUGUUCGAGACAGAACUGGCGGUAUUGGAACUGAUCAACGAGGUAUGUAGUUCAGCAGUCCACGUGGACGGAAAGCUCUCUCCAUACGCCGCGGCGGAGUGUCGCAAAGCCGUCAACGAGACCUGCGGAGUAGAUAUAGCGGCAUUCCUCAAACGAAAUGAGAACAUCGGCAAGACCUCCAAGAAACUAGUCGAGACUAUGAAGAACAGCAACUCCUCGUGCCUUAAGGAGCAUUUUGGCGUGCCCGUCUGGAGUCUCGCUCCUCACCAGGCGUUCAACUCAUGGACCCUACAAGACACUGUAAAACAAGAGCGUCCUCUGAACCGCGGCGCAGGGCCGCAUCCAGCACUGCGAGAGCGGGGCCGCGCGAUUCCUCAGGGCGUGGCCCCCGCGAGACCCGCGACACCGAUGCCGCCCCACGUUCGGGUACGAUCCUCCCCGCUAUCAGUGUACUAUGAGCUGGACAUCAAGCCACCACCGAUCCCGGGCAUGCGGCCCCCGCUCGGCUCGCCCGGGGGUCCGGUGCCCACGCCCAAGUCGUCCAUGGGGUUCGUCAUGCCGAUCUACACGAUAUGCAUCAUAGUGUUCUUCGUGUACACACUUAGCAAGAUCCUGUUCAAGCGCACCGCGUCCCCCUACGAGCCUGUUAGUCCCGACCCCCACUUCAGGAGCAGGGUGUUCCGCGACGACUCCAGGACGUCGCCCGACAAGCUCGUUGUUACUGCAAUAUCGGGCCUGGUGGCAGAGGUACAGCAGCAGAUGGAGGCGAGCUACGCGCAAAACCAGCAGCGACAGGAGGCCCAGGAUGAGCAGGCUCGCCCGUACACGAACGGUACAAUACUUCACAACACCGGCCCGGUGCAUAUCGUCGCCAGCGAAUACCAGGAAGUAUCCAAGGAAAAGACUCCUGAACCUCAGAGGGAAGUGCCAGAACCUUCACCUGAAGUGAAGGAACCUGCCCCUGAACCUGAAAAGCCUCUGUCAAAAGAAUCUUUAGAGACGAAAGAGUCUGAGGAAUUAGAGGCUGAAAAACAAGAAGAAUUGGUUCAAGAAAUACCUGCAACACAAUCUGAAGAAGCAGAGACGGACGAUGUUAAAGAAGAGAAGGGUCCAGAAGAAAAUGACUUAAAACUCGUUGCUGACGAUGAAGUGGACGAAAAUGGUGGCGAAGCUAAAUUCGAUAAAGAAGAAUCGGGUUCAGAGCCAGAGUUAAUAGAAAUUAAUAAUAAAGAGGAUGAACUGAUUAAAUUAACAAACGAUGACGUAGAAAGCGAUGACUACGUCAAAGUGGUACAGGAUUUCUUGAACGAGGAAGCUAAAAUAGACGUGAAAGAAGAGAAACAAUCGACUCCGGAUCUCCUGGAAGUAGCUAUUAAAGAGGACUCGCCUGAUAAACCUGAGGAUGACCAAGAAAAUGCUAGUGUAAAGAUGGUGGUGAGCGGUAAAAUGACUUUGUCACUCAUACAGGACGCACCGAGAGACACUCCUGAGAAGGAUCCAGAAUCAACAGUGGAUGAUUUCACAACAGCCAGUGCAAUCACUCAACCCGCCGCUGAUAAACAAGUUGAAGAAGAGUCCGACGAAGAAAUAGAGAUCGAAGAAGAAAUAGAAGUGGAAGAGAUCGAGGAAGAGGAAGAAGUUGAGGAGAUUGAGGAAGACGAAGAGAACGAACCGGUGGAGGCGAAGAAACCAGAAGCAAAGGAACCAGUCAAAGUGCAAGAAGUAAAGGAAGCUGUUAAAGUACAGGAAGAAGUAAAACAAGCAGAAGAAGAUUCCGAAGAGGAGGUAGAAGUAAAUGAAGAUGAGGAACCAAUACAAGAUUCGAAAUUUGAACCGGUUAAAGAACUAGAUGCCGAUAAAGAAGAAGAAUAUUCUGAGGAAGAAAUUGAGGAAAAUGAGGAACCAGUGAAAGAGUCAGUUAAGGUAAAGGAACCGGUGAAAUUAAAAGAGCCAGUUAAAGGAAAACCAUCUGUAGAACAUUCAGAAGAUGAUAAGGAACAGAAGAAAGCGAAAGGAGAUAAAGAAUGAACUGAUAGGAAUUAACUUGUAGUGAGAGAAUGUUUGGUGGUUCUGUAAAGAAAAAUAUUAAACAAGUAAAAUGGAUUCAAAUAAAAAUACCUACAUUAUUUGGCCCUUUAAAUGGAAUCCAAAGAAGGAAUUAGGAAGGCAUAAUUUUUGAGCACCACCGAA